CAGGCCUAGCUGAGGAGCCCCAUCCUCUUCUCAUUGAGCCUCCAUCAGAGCAUGGCUGUCCUGGUGCUGCUCCUCUGCCUGCUGACCUUUCCAAGCUGUGUCCUGUCCCAGGUGCAGUUGAAGGAGUCAGGACCUGGCCUGGUGCAGCCCUCACAGACCCUGUCCCUGACCUGCACUGUCUCUGGGUUCUCAUUAACUGAUUAUAGUGUAUACUGGGUUCGCCAGCCUCCAGGGAAGGGUCUGGAGUGGAUGGGAGCAAUGUGGAGUGGUGGAGGCACAGAUUAUAAUUCAGCUCUCAAAUUCCGACUGAGCAUCAGCAGGGACACCUCCAAGAGCCAAGUUUUCUUAAAACUGAACAGUCUGCAAACUGAUGACACAGCCACUUACUACUGUGCCAGAAACACAAUGAGAGUAGUCCAGUGUGAACCUGCACAAAAACCUCUCUGCAGUGAUGCUCAGGACCAGCAGGGGGCAGUAGCCACCAACAAGGACAUUCCAGGAUCCUUUCAGAAUCUAGGAAGUUCUGGCCUAUGCUGGAUGAACAACUGUUUAAUGUUAAAGAUGUGGACCAUUCUUCUAGCCAUGGUAAUUCUCUAGAACCUACUGUUUAGUGUAAUGUACUAUUAAGCUUCUGGUUUGUGCACACAA